CGGGCAAUCCUUCCUAGCCAGACCGUAUUUGAUCUCAGACACUAAACUGACCUGGGCCUGCCUGCAUGGAUGGGAGACCACCUGGGAAUGCCAGGUGCUGU
rnacentral:rRNA from 1 species